rnacentral:lncRNA from 1 species
AAAUGAGAGUAUUAAUCUUUCAACAAAUUGACACUGCUGUCAGGACAAUUUGUUGAUAGGAGAAAACUCCCAACUAAAAUAAACACCGAAUAACGCUUUCAACAGAUGAGAAUUGAGAAUAGGAAAGAGACUCCAUUCUAUGAUACCAUGGGAUGUAACAAUAUCAAGAGGAAUAUUUCAUUUGAUCCAUCUGAGGUAAAGAUGUUGAUGCGGGUGACAUGGAUUAAAGUGGAAGCCAAGCAAGAACGAUGGUGGCACCAUACGAGGACUGCCAAAAAGAAGAGAAUCCCCCA